GAUCGGGAGGGGAUGAAUACAAAACCCUUUACCGGGGAAUAAGUCCACCGUUUCUUUUACGCGGUUUUCAGCCUCCUGAUCGCCCUUGC
rnacentral:ncRNA from 1 species